rnacentral:pre_miRNA from 1 species
AAUGGCACUGGAAGAAUUCACGGCUUAUGUUCAAAUCCGUGAAUUCUCUAGUGUUAUGAA